rnacentral:misc_RNA from 1 species
GAUGAAGAACGUAGCAAAAUGCGAUAAGUAAUGUGAAUUGCAGAAUUCAGUGAAUCAUCGAAUCUUUGAACGCACAUUGCGCCCGCUGGUAUUCCGGUGGGCAUGCCUGUUCGAGCGUCAUUUCAACCCUCAAGCCCCCGGGUUUGGUGUUGGGGAUCGGCUCUGCCCUUCUUGGCGGUGCCGCCCCCGAAAUACAUUGGCGGUCUCGCUGCAGCCUCCAUUGCGUAGUAGCUAACACCUCGCAACUGGAACGCGGCGCGGCCAUGCCGUAAAACCCCAACUUCUGAAUGUUGACCUCGGAUCAGGUAGGAAUACCCGCUGAACUUAAGCAUAUCAAUAAGCGGAGGA